rnacentral:lncRNA from 1 species
CCGGUCAGCGCACAUAUUCAGGAGCGGCAAAGGGAUCCUCGGCGGCACUCACGUGGUUCGGGGCUUCGGCUCAGAAUGCUCUCUUGAACACCAGUGCAAUGCGCUUCUUGGCCUAGCAUGCACAAGUUACGGAAAUCGCAUGUCCCGCUGUGCCUGCGCUCCAUCGACGCCUGUCUACGUAAACGAAGGUGGAGUCCAAAAGUGCGUCCGACCCAAGGAGCUUUACGAAGGUUGCGUCAGCAACCAGGAGUGCAGCUUCAAGAAUCCGAACGUGCAGUGCGUCAACUUUCUCUGCAACUGCUCGCAACCCUUUCAACUGACACCGGCGAGGCUCUGUC